GAUUUUUGGAGCAGGGAGUUGGAAUAGGAGCUUGCUCCGUCCACUCCACGCAUCGACCUGGUAUUGCAGUACUUCCAGGAACGGUGCACCCCUC
rnacentral:snRNA from 1 species